rnacentral:misc_RNA from 1 species
GAUGAAGAACGUAGUGAAUUGCGAUAAGUAAUGUGAAUUGCAGAAUUCAGUGAAUCAUCGAGUCUUUGAACGCACAUUGCGCCCCCUGGUAUUCCGGGGGGCAUGCCUGUCCGAGCGUCAUUGCUGCCCUCAAGCACGGCUUGUGUGUUGGGCCUCCGUCCUCCUCCCGGGGGACGGGCCCGAAAGGCAGCGGCGGCACCGCGUCCGGUCCUCGAGCGUAUGGGGCUUCGUCACCCGCUCUUGUAGGCCCGGCCGGCGCUUGCCGACACAUCAAUCUUUUUUCCAGGUUGACCUCGGAUCAGGUAGGGAUACCCGCUGAACUUAAGCAUAUCAAUAAGCGGAGGA